rnacentral:lncRNA from 1 species
CAACGUUCACUUUGGUACUGUUGUCAAUUCGGCGAACAAAUUCUCCUCCAGGUCGUUUUUCUAACCCCGUGCGUUCAUGAUCAUGUAACCACUCCCACUCGUGGCUGGUGGAAAAUUACCAGCUUACAAGCAACAGGCAAGUGAAUGGUACUUGCGGUUUAUCACCUAAUUCAGCCCAACAGUGUUGCUGCACGAGACAACCACUUUUCUUUAAGGAUAUAUUGCGUUUAAAAGUAGUAGAGCCUUCACACAGCGUUUAAGUGGAUACAAUCAUUAAAUUGCAUUAGUUUUACUCCUCGUAUUGUACGCACGUGCAGUAAUGCAAUGUAGCAUUUACAUGAAUGAAGCUAAUUUAUAACUUGACCCUUUGAAGUAGCAACAGUGGUCGCUUACUUAAUCGCUAUUCUGAUAAACGAAGUCAUGUAUAAAUCCAUUCUGCAUGGGAGUCUGCCCUCUUUUUCUCUCCGGGCGGAGCAGUCGCGUGGGCGCUUGAGCGAAUUGAAAUAAACUGACAGGUGAAUCAUUCAAUAGGACACCAACUAGGAAGUCUCCGCCAAAGCUGCAGCCAAUCACAGCGCGGAGUGGGCGUAACCCCAGUCCAAACUUUACGCGGCGCCAUCGGCUGAAAACUAAACCGAGAUGGAAUCUCCCAGUCUGAACCGGUUUCAACCGGUUGCGAGUUAGUUGCUUGAGAGAGGAUAGGAGGCGCAGGCACACAACCUCUACACCACCCCGCUGGAAAAUUAUUAGAGUAACGAAUUAAUUAGUGAAUCAAGGUUUACUUUGUUUCGUAAAAUGUAUCGGAGUAACAUAGUGCUGGGUUUGCCGUGAUAGUAGUUUUGGAACCCGCAUCAGCGGUUCUUACCAGCCAGAUAUCACUCACUGCUGGAGCUGGAGAUAGUCAACGCUGCAGAAAUAGGAAAUAUUUUCUAAUCAACAGUGAUACUGAAGUAUUCACUAUAUCUUGUAGCUUCUUUGGCAAACGCCACUCUUUUCAGUCAGAGCCUUGGACUUUAGUGACAGACUUGUAACACCACGAGCUUAAUGUGACAGCUCACUGGUGGGUCGAGUCGGAUAUUUGUUUAGUAGUCAGCUGUUUGGAAUUGUUUCUAAACACACAGUUCACAUGACUUUGCCUGUUGAAUGCGUUCUGUGCACUCAUGACCCCUCC